AUUGAACGCUGGCGGCAUGCCUUACACAUGCAAGUCGAACGGCAGCACCGGUUCUUGCACCUGGUGGCGAGUGGCGCACGGGUGAGUAAUACAUGGGGACAUGUCCUGCAGCGGGGGGUAGCCCGGCGAAAGCCGGAUUAAUACAGCCUACGAUCUACGGGUGCCAGCGGGGGUGCUGCGGGCCUCGCGCUCAAGGUUUGGCCGAUGGCUGAUUAGCUAGUUGGUGGGGUAAAGGCUUACCAAGGCGACGAUCAGUAGCUGGUCUGAGAGGACGACCAGCCACACUGGGACUGAGACACGGCCCAGACUCCUACGGGAGGCAGCAGUGGGGAAUUUUGGACAAUGGGCGAAAGCCUGAUCCAGCAAUGCCGCGUGUGUGAAGAAGGCCUUCGGGUUGUAAAGCACUGUUGUCCGGAAAGAAAACCUUGGCCCUAAUACGGUCGGGGGAUGACGGUACCGGAAGAAUAAGCACCGGCUAACUACGUG
rnacentral:rRNA from 1 species